UGUAAGUAUAUGAAUAGGAUAUUCAUAUUUAUGAAUAUGUGGGCAAAAUGGGAAAAUGAAUCACUAAAUGGUUAAGAAUAUUUUAGUGGGGAAAUGUGAAAUCCCGUUUCUGAAUUUGAUUAUUAAAUUAAGUAUUUUGUAAUCAUAAUUUACGAUGGAUAUUUGUUCGAUAAGUAAAAAGACAAAAAUGCUCUUAGAGGGUAUGUGUCGACUUUCAUUAACUUACUGAUCAGAUCACGUGUGACAUAUUAAUUAGUAUAUCCUAAUAGCACUCGUUAUUAUGAACGAAACCCAUAUAAAUUAUUUUAUUUAAAGUAGUGGAAAAGAUAAUAGCACUAGAUAUAAAAUAUUAAUGAUAGAAUAAAGGAAAGAAAAAAAAUAAAAGAACAGAUGGGAGGUGGAGGAGGAUCGGGAAGAAACGGGAAAAGAAGGGGAAAAGGGGAGAAGGGGGGAAAAAGGAAUUCUUCUUCUUCUUCUUCUUCCUCCUUCCUCCUUCCUCCUUCGCUCACGGGAUCCCUUUCAAACUAUAUUCAUCAUAAUUUCCUCAUACGAUAAGGAAAUCACGUGAGGUCGGAAGCUAUAGUUUCGUAGCGAGGCCGUCUUCAAUCUUACGAUACCCACCCUUUGAAAACCAUUGUAUAAAGAAAACGAGGUCCAAACAUAUUGACGUGUUCCGGCGACUUUUCUCUGAUUUGGGGCAAUCCCGCUGGAAUCUGGCUGGACCCAAGCGAAAAUAAUGAUUCUCCCCACGUGGGCUCUCCUCUGGCGAGUUGAAUCGGAACCGGGUAGUCAUGAUCGGUUGCAUAUAUAGGGAAGAACAUUGAAAUCCUAACCUCAAUUCGGUUCUCUUUAGAAAUUGAAGGGUUGGGUUUGUGUUAUAAGCAUUCUAUAUUCUUCCCAUGGCAUUGCUAUUAUUAGAGUAUUAUAUGACUCUUGUUUUGGUUGUUGCAGAAGUUAAAUGCAACCAUAAAAUAG